rnacentral:lncRNA from 1 species
ACAAGAGUUACUGAAUGUAAUUUCUGUAAUUCAAUUGCAUCAUCCUAACAAAGCUAAUAGCAACAAGAAAAAAAAUCCUUCUGAGAAGAGAAAAAAAUGCUCAGAGCAGUUCACUGAUUCUUAGCAUUAUCUGUUUUUUGUUUUUUUUAUUUUUUUUACACAAGGUGGAAUCACUCUAAAUUGAAGAAAUAUUGGCUGUCAUGGUCUAAUGAAUACCAAAUGAGACAUUAAACUGUAACUCAGGAACCUCAUGGGUGUUCAUAAAUGUGUGUGCUUUCCAUUCAAGCCCACACAAAAACACUCAUAAUGAAUGUGUUCUCAAGGACUCAUUAUGAUGUUUACAGGCGAUCUAAUCAGGAACUCCGAGGCACUUACAUUUAUCUCCCACUAUCCUCUCUAUGUUCUUCACACACUAACUAGAAUGUCGUGGUUUACAAACUAGGAAGUCACUGCCUUCUGUCUGAUGAAAAAUUCUGGAGAGCUGGGGUCAGAAAAAAAGAAAAGUCGUAAGCGGAUCCCCCAAACAGAAUGCCCCAGGAAUUCACUUUUGUGCUUAGAAGAAGGACAGGAAAAGUAACCAAAACCCCAGGACUGAGAACCAGUCAUUGCCCUUCAUUACAGAUCCAGGACCCACAAGAAAAGGAGAGCUUCACCAGGAAGUAACUAGCUACAGAACAAGACACACCAUUGCAUUGAAUCUGCCUGGAGAAAACUCUGAGGGCUAAGGGGUGGACAGAGCUACAAGACCGAGAAUCUUGAAUCCCUAAAGGAUGACAUCAAAGGCCACUUGUCAGCUAGACACACCCAACUGGACUCUAUUUAAAUGAGAAAUAAAAUUCAGCUAUUUUAAGCCACUGAGAUGGAGAGGAUAUUCUGAAGUUGUGACUAGUAUAAUUUACCCUAAAAAAUAUACCGCACUGAAAAA